rnacentral:misc_RNA from 1 species
GAUGAAGAACGUAGCGAAAUGCGAUACUUGGUGUGAAUUGCAGAAUCCCGUGAACCAUCGAGUCUUUGAACGCAAGUUGCGCCCGAAGCCAUUAGGCCGAGGGCACGCCUGCCUGGGCGUCACACGUCGUUGCCCCCCCAUCUACUCCUUCGGGAUUGCGGGGGGCGGAUGAUGGCCUCCCGUGCGCCUCGUCGCGCGGUUGGCCUAAAUGCCAAGUCCUCGGCGACGCGCGCCACGACAAUCGGUGGUUGCGAAACCUCGGUUGCCCGUCGUGUGCGGUCGUCGCGCAUCGAGGGCUCGAAAAAAUUGCCGGGCUUCGGCUCGACUUUCAACGCGACCCCAGGUCAGGCGGGGUUACCCGCUGAAUUUAAGCAUAUCAAUAAGCGGAGGA